AAUGAACGCUGGCGGCGUGCUUAACACAUGCAAGUCGAGCGAGGGCCUGGGGGGCAACUCCCAGAGUCGAGCGGCGGACGGGUGAGUAACACGUGGGUAACCUGCCCGGAAGUGGGGAAUACCUCGGGGAAACUCGAGCUAAUACCGCAUGACAUCUUUGGGACGAAAGUCCUGACGAUCAAAGCGGGUCGCAAGAUCUCGCGCUACCGGAUGGGGCCCGCGCCCGAUUAGCUAGUUGGGAGGUAACGGCUCACCAAGGCUUCGAUCGGUAACCGGCCUGAGAGGGCGAUCGGUCACACCGGAACUGAGACACGGUCCGGACUCCUACGGGAGGCAGCAGUGGGGAAUCUUGCGCAAUGGGCGAAAGCCUGACGCAGCAACGCCGCGUGGAGGAUGAAGGCCCUUGGGUUGUAAACUCCUGUCGGCUGGGAAGAAAUCGUACAGUGCUCAUACC
rnacentral:rRNA from 1 species